rnacentral:rRNA from 1 species
CGUUUACCACGGUGUGGUUCAUGACUGGGGUGAAGUCGUAACAAGGUAGCCGUAGGGGAACCUGCGGCUGGAUCACCUCCUUACAUA